CUGUACUGAAGUCCUCUAAAAGAAACUCACAGGAAAAGCCAACUUCCUGGGGUUGAGUACAACAAAAAUGAUUUUCAUGGAUUCUGUAGGAAAACAGGGGAGGCUUUAUCUGGAUGAUUGGCAGGCUCGGUUCCCACCUACUGCAGAGAUGCAGGAGACUUCACUUGGAAUCUGGCACAGAGUGGCCUUGUGGCGUUGUGGGCAGCACCGUCUGGCCAUGCUGUGGCCUUGCCGGGCAGCUGCCUGGGUGCCUGAGACCACGUGGUGCUUCAGGGCGCGGAACCGGCUGAGCUGGCCCGCUGCCUGCCCCACGGGGGUGCUUGUGGGACAGAGGCUUAGAGGAAGUAAAGACGGCGGCCGUGCUUGAGAGGCCCUGUGGGUGAGGCCUGCACCUUGCUCCCUGGAGGACUCCGUGGUGAGGAGACCUGGUGCUCUGCUGCCAGAGAGCCCAGGCCCUGUCCAGCGUAGCUCUCAGCAGAGGCCACAGGAGACGCACCGUCUUCAGUUUGAGCUGAUGUGUUAUCUGACUGUGUCCGCUGUGUCCUCUUUCAUCACUUCCGUGGGCAUCUGAGUGCCUGCACGAGCCAUGCGGCUGGCUGCCACAGGACCAAGGCAGAGAUCAGCACCCAGCGCUGCUCUGAGGAGACUCCCGGGGUGUUCAGAGAACCUCAGGCUCUUCCACCAGGCGCCACCUGAGAACUGAACAGUGUCAGCGGUCACUCUGUGGAUGAGCGUGCGCCCUUGGUCACCACCGUGACGAGUGGAGAAGACUGAUUAACGGAAGCCCCCCAGCAAACAUGUCCUCGAUCCCAUUGUCCAAGAAUCAGGCACACGCUGUUACGUCUUCCAGUCACCUGCAAGGGGACAGAAAUUUUGACUGGCUUAGAUGUCACCCUGCUUCACCCCGAGGGGCAGAGGAGGCAAAGGGAGGGUGAACAGCAGAGCCAGAAGCCCUCCCCAGCACAAGGCGUGCGGUCAGGACGUGGGGGCGGCAGUGGGGGCAGCACAGGGAGGAAAUG